rnacentral:rRNA from 1 species
UACAGAGGGGGCAAGCGUUGUUCGGAAUUACUGGGCGUAAAGGGCGCGUAGGCGGCCUUCUAAGUCGAACGUGAAAUCCCCGGGCUCAACCCGGGAACUGCGUCCGAUACUGGAAGGCUUGAAUCCGGGAGAGGGAUGCGGAAUUCCAGGUGUAGCGGUGAAAUGCGUAGAGAUCAGGAAGAACACCGGUGGCGAAAGCGUUCUGCUGGGCUGCGACUGACACUGAGGGACGAAAGCUAGGGGAGCGAAUGGG